UACCAGCACCCCGAGUGGUCGGGACGAUUAUUGGGCCUAAAGCAUCCGUAGCCGGUCCUACAAGUCUUCCGUUAAAUCCACCUGCUUAACAGAUGGCUGCGGAAGAUACUAUAGGGCUAGGAGGCGGGAGAGGCAAGCGGUACUCAGUGGGUAGGGGUAAAAUCCUCUGAUCCAUUGAAGACCACCAGUGGCGAAGGCGGCUUGCCAGAACGCGCUCGACGGUG
rnacentral:rRNA from 1 species